ACACGACUACAUUAGAUACCCCGGUAGUCCCAGCCCUAAACGAUGCGCGUUAGGUGUAUCGGUGACCACGAGUCACCGAGGUGCCGAAGGGAAACCGUGAAACGUGCCGCCUGGGAAGUACGGUCGCAAGGCUGAAACUUAAAGGAAUUGGCGUGGGAGCACCACAACGGGUGGAGCCUGCGGUUUAAUUGGACUCAACGCCGGGAAGCUCACCGGAUAAGACAGCGGAAUGAUUGCCGGGCUGAAGACCCUGCAUGACCAGCUG
rnacentral:rRNA from 1 species